rnacentral:rRNA from 1 species
UGCAGUCGACGAUGAACCUCCUUCGGGAGGGGAUUAGUGGCGAACGGGUGAGUAACACGUGGGCAAUCUGCCCUGCACUCUGGGACAAGCCCUGGAAACGGGGUCUAAUACCGGAUACGACUCGGGAGGGCAUCCUUCCGGGUGGAAAGCUCCGGCGGUGCAGGAUGAGCCCGCGGCCUAUCAGCUUGUUGGUGGGGUGAUGGCCUACCAAGGCGACGACGGGUAGCCGGCCUGAGAGGGCGACCGGCCACACUGGGACUGAGACACGGCCCAGACUCCUACGGGAGGCAGCAGUGGGGAAUAUUGCACAAUGGGCGAAAGCCUGAUGCAGCGACGCCGCGUGAGGGAUGACGGCCUUCGGGUUGUAAACCUCUUUCAGCAGGGAAGAAGCGCAAGUGACGGUACCUGCAGAAGAAGCGCCGGCUAACUACGUGCCAGCAGCCGCGGUAAUACGUAGGGCGCAAGCGUUGUCCGGAAUUAUUGGGCGUAAAGAGCUCGUAGGCGGCUUGUCGCGUCGGAUGUGAAAGCUCGGGGCUUAACCCCGGGUCUGCAUUCGAUACGGGCAGGCUAGAGUGUGGUAGGGGAGAUCGGAAUUCCUGGUGUAGCGGUGAAAUGCGCAGAUAUCAGGAGGAACACCGGUGGCGAAGGCGGAUCUCUGGGCCAUUACUGACGCUGAGGAGCGAAAGCGUGGGGAGCGAACAGGAUUAGAUACCCUGGUAGUCCACGCCGUAAACGUUGGGAACUAGGU